GUGAGGAAUAUUGCGCAAUGGGCGAAAGCCUGACGCAGCGACGCCGCGUGGAGGAUGAAGGUCUUCGGAUUGUAAACUUCUGUUAAGUGGGAAGAAAGGGCUGUUUUUAAUAGAAGCAGUUAAUGACGGUACCAUUAAAGAAAGCACCGGCUAAACUCGUGCCAGCAGCCGCGGUAAUACGAGUGGUGCAAGCGUUAUUCGGAAUAAUUGGGCGUACAGGGUGUGUAGGCGGUAUGUUAAGUCUGUUGUUAAAGACUCCGGCCUAACCGGAGACAGGCAGCGGAAACUGGCGUACUAGAGGGUGGAAGAGAGAAGUGGAAUUCUCGGUGUAGCGGUAAAAUGCGUAGAUAUCGAGAGGAACACCGAUGGCGAAGGCAGCUUCUUGGUCCAUACCUGACGCUGAAACACGAAAGCGUGGGGAGCAAACAGGAUUAGAAACCCCAGUAGUCC
rnacentral:rRNA from 1 species